rnacentral:tRNA from 1 species
AUUAUAAUAGUUUAAAUAAAAUUAAGGUUUUGUAAACCUAAGAUGAUUUCUCUUAUAAUA